rnacentral:rRNA from 1 species
UUGUCCUUAGUUACAGCACGUUAUGGUGGGCACUCUAAGGAGGACUGCCGGUGGACAAACCGGAGGAAGGUGGGGAUGACGUCAAGUCAUCAUGGCCUUACGGCCUGGGCUACACACGUGCUACAAUGGUCGGUACAAAGGGUUGCCAAGCCGCGAGGUGGAGCUAAUCCCAUAAAACCGAUCGUAGUCCGGAUCGCAGUCUGCAACUCGACUGCGUGAAGUCGGAAUCGCUAGUAAUCGUGAAUCAGAAUGUCACGGUGAAUACGUUCCCGGGCCUU